ACUGGCCUGAGCACUGGAGUAGAGCCUCAGGAAUUUCGUGCCUUUUGCAGUUGAGAGGAGCCUGGCCCCUCCUCUUCUUGUGUGGAACCUAGGAUUCGAGCUGUGGGCAGAAAGUGCUCUAGCAGGGACUCUGGCUUUGAAAGAGUCCCUUUUUCCUCCUUUUCUUCCUUUACACCCAAUAAAACCUGUCUUACCCUUCAAACUGUCUGCACGCCUGAAUUUUUAUGGCUGUGGGACAAAGGACCUCAUCUUUAGCUGAACUAAGGAAAAAGUCCUGCAACAUUUUUGGCGUGCAACGUAGGGACUUGAGAAGCGGUCAUCAAACUCCAAGUGGCCAUGCAACCAGAGCCUCUGAUGAUGGCCCCUUCUGCUGGGAACCUUACACAGGCCUCUGAGGGAGCUUUAACUGCCGUUUCCCCAAAACAGCACCCCUGUCAGCAGGAAGCAGAAUUGCUGCCUCUAAUACUGGGAUGGGAUCUACAUUUUCAAGGGACGGUUCCUGUUGCACCUGCUUUUUAAAUGAAGCUGACUCUAGCAUAAUAUCAGCUGCUUGGAAAAGAACACCAGUCUUCCAUCAAAUAAGCUGUCUUCGUUGCCUGGCACAUUGACUUGUCAAGUUCCAAAUGUCAUGACCUGUGAAAACUUGAGACAACUACAAAGCAAAUUAAUGCCGGAGAAGUGGGCCCUAGGACUUCAGCAAUUUGAGAUUCUGAUUACAAAAGACUGGAAAAGGAAAGACCCUUGGUAGUGCUCAACAUGAACCAAAACACAAAUAGACUCAGCAUUUUUAAUGUUUUAAUGACUAGAAAUGGAAUCUUCACAUAUUGUAAAAAGUGAACAGAAAAGAAAC
rnacentral:lncRNA from 1 species